AGAGUUUGAUCAUGGCUCAGGAUGAACGCUAGCGACAGGCUUAACACAUGCAAGUCGAGGGGCAUCAUGAGGUAGCAAUACCUUGAUGGCGACCGGCGCACGGGUGAGUAACGCGUAUGCAACCUGCCCGAUACCGGGGUAUAGCCCAUGGAAACGUGGAUUAACACCCCAUAGUACUUUUAUCCUGCCUGGGAUGGGAGUUAAAUGUUCAAGGUAUCGGAUGGGCAUGCGUCCUAUUAGUUAGUUGGCGGGGUAACAGCCACCAAGACGAUGAUAGGUAGGGGUUCUGAGAGGAAGGUCCCCACAUUGGAACUGAGACACGGUCCAAACUCCUACGGAGGCA
rnacentral:rRNA from 1 species